rnacentral:lncRNA from 1 species
AAGAGCACACACCUGGAGCCAGGCUGCUGAAGUGAGGCUCCGAGCCACUAACUAGCUGGAUGACCUUGCGGGGUCAUAGUGAGAACUAAAUGAGACAUGUGAGAAAAGCUCUCAGGACACUGCCUGCUGCACGGCAGGUGCUAUGUGUGGUGCUGUUAUCAGUCUCACGCUACCACACAGCCGCAGAGGCAACGUUGAGGGAGAAGCCCAUGAUCCAGACCUAGCAGUUUGCCCGGGACGUUUAAAACACUUGCAAGAGGAGACCAUUCCUGAAGUUGGCUGCAAACCCCCUGCUUCAUCUGUUACCAGGUUUAACCCCUCAAUAGCCGAAUCGCUGGAUGAAGUGUCAUCACUUACAACUGUAACAGAGUGGUCAAAGAGAGUGAUGUUUUCUUUAGUCUGAGCUGGGAUUGGAGGGAGAAAAGAGCUUUAAGAAAAACGAUUCCAGAGAUCAGCUAAAGGAAUUGGUGUCUUUGAGAAUCCUAUGCCUUGCUUCCAGGUAAAAUAAGAUAGCUGAGAGCAUCAUAAGACACUUGGGAUGGAAACUAUCCAGGCGAAUGUGGUAAUAAGCCAAUAAACAAGAAAUCUGAUUAUGACAAGAAGUAGAAACAAAAAAGAAGCAUAACCCACGGAGAAAGGGGAAAAAACCUAACACACACAGCGCUCUUUCUAGCCAUGUUUUACUUUGGUCUACUAUAUAUAGAAUCUGUUUCCGCCUCAAGGACAAUGGAUGAUUUUUAGCAGAGUCCACCAAUCACAGGCCUUCGGGAAUUUUGAAGUGAAAAGAGAGCCAUUCCGUACAAAACGCAGUUACAACCAUGUGAAAUAUCUUAUUGGCGGGUCUGGUUUUAUUGCACUGCACUAGUAGAGACAUACUUAAAUGGUCAAUCCUUGUGAAAUACAGAAAAAUGCAGCUGAUAAGGAAUUUAAGGCUGUUUCAUGAAUUUCACAUAACUCGGGACACAUUCUGCCCAGUGAUAUGCAUGACUAAGGGAAAAUCCUGUGGAAUGAGGGAAGGCUGAAUUGAAUAUUUCAUUAUUUUGCUAAUCCUUUUAUUCUUUUGGAGAACUAUUUGCAAACUGCUUUAUAAAUAUUUUUCUUAAAUGUUACUAUUACUAAUUAUCACUCAAUAUUAUCUUAGUAAAAAUAAUAGAGUCUCAGGCCGUUUUAGUUGGAAAGAUGGCAAAGAGCAGUAAGUACACUCACAGAGUUCACGUUUUGAGCAAAGAGAAGAGGUGGAGCUGAAGUCAGCUGCCUCUGAGUUUCUAACGAGUGCCAGUGAUGGACACUAGGGCCCUUUGGCAGCAACUCUCUGUUAUGUGAUCAUAAAAUCCACAGGUAAUUCAAGGUUAUCAGCUCCCUUCCCACCAAUACACCAUAGUCAACAUCAAGACCGCCAGAGUCAGGCAGGCCUGGGCUGGAAAGCUGCUCUGCUGUUUACUAGCCGUGUGACUAGAACGAGCUGGCUAACCUUUCCUCAUCCAUAAAAUGGAGACAGUAAUCUCCUAGGGUUGUCUUGAGUGUUAAAUGAGAUAAUCCAUCUAGAGCAGGGAUUAUGAAUCCUGGCACUACUGACAUUUUGGGCUGGCUAAUUUUGUGGUGGGCAGCUGUCCUAUGCACUAAAGGAUGUUUGUCAGCCCCUCUGGUCUUCAUCCUCUAAAUGCCAGUAUCACCUCCCCAUGCUCCCCUUCCCCAAAGUGUGACAAUGAAAAUAGUCUCCAGGCAUUGCCAGAUGUCCCCUGGGGGCAAAACCGCUCCCCUCCCCUAUACAAUGAUCUUAGUAAGGUACUUGGCACAUAGUCAGUGCUCAAAAUAUAUUAGCUAUUAUCGUUAUCAUCAUCAUUUUGUAUUGCCGUGAAGGAGCAGCAACGUGGCGCUCACACCGUCUCUUUGUUUCUUUCCUUGGCCUUUGUGAGAACGUGCAGACAAAUGGUCAAAUGCAAGGAUCACAAAAGGAUGAGCCACAGACUGUAUAAUCAGCUCUUGACAGUUUUGUUAAAUGUAGUGAUUUUCUUUUUUUUCUGCCACUAAGGAGAAGGUGACCCAACCCUUGGAUCCUUCCCCAUAUGUUCCAGAUUUUACCAGGCUCUGCAGAGGCCUGAGUGAAGAGAAUGUUGUCACUUUACCAAGCCUGCUGUGAGAAAAAAGGGAAAAAGAUACCAUGGUCAAAUGGCUCACAUGCUAUUAUACACUUUGCGCUCUGGUGAGCCAGGCCGUCUCUGACUGUAAUUUCCGUGUCUUUCUUCACCUCUCACCUUCCACCGUGGCGAUUACUUAACCCACUGACCCAGAUAACUGCUUAUUAACAUUUAAUACAUGCUGAAGUGUUAGUGGGCUUUGCACAAAACAUGAAGAAGUUUCUGACUUGCUUUUAGCUCUUUGCCCUUGAACCAUUACAUGAGUAAUUCUUUAAAGCUCUGCUCUGCCACUGCCAUAACUGUGGCAUGUAUUUUCUUUAAGAUAAAAAUGAACAAUUUAUGAAAAGAGUUUGCGCCCUUGUUGCAUGCAAGCUUUCAUUCAUUUAAUGAAUGUCGAUGAGCUCCUUUUAUGCUGGAUAUCCUAUGCUGGGAAGGCCUGGGUAAGUAGCCCUG